GAGCUUGCUCUUUGGGUGACGAGCGGCGGACGGGUGAGUAAUGUCUGGGAAACUGCCUGAUGGAGGGGGAUAACUACUGGAAACGGUAGCUAAUACCGCAUAACCUCGCAAGAGCAAAGAGGGGGACCUUCGGGCCUCUCGCCAUCAGAUGUGCCCAGAUGGGAUUAGCUAGUAGGUGAGGUAAUGGCUCACCUAGGCGACGAUCCCUAGCUGGUCUGAGAGGAUGACCAGCCACACUGGAACUGAGACACGGUCCAGACUCCUACGGGAGGCAGCAGUGGGGAAUAUUGCACAAUGGGCGCAAGCCUGAUGCAGCCAUGCCGCGUGUGUGAAGAAGGCCUUCGGGUUGUAAAGCACUUUCAGCGAGGAGGAAGGCGGUAAGGUUAAUAACCUUAUCGAUUGACGUUACUCGCAGAAGAAGCACCGGCUAACUCCGUGCCAGCAGCCGCGGUAAUACGGAGGGUGCAAGCGUUAAUCGGAAUGACUGGGCGUAAAGCGCACGCAGGCGGUCUGUUAAGUUGGAUGUGAAAUCCCCGGGCUUAACCUGGGAACUGCAUUCAAAACUGACAGGCUAGAGUCUUGUAGAGGGGGGUAGAAUUCCAGGUGUAGCGGUGAAAUGCGUAGAGAUCUGGAGGAAUACCGGUGGCGAAGGCGGCCCCCUGGACAAA
rnacentral:rRNA from 1 species